AAUGAAUCUUUAGUAUUGCAGUUCUCUACCAGUUUUGCAUGGUUGCACCACAAGAAGAAAUUAGUUGUGCAAAUCUAUGCAAAACUGAUGGUGGACUGGGUUGACUGUUAAGUGGUUU
rnacentral:precursor_RNA from 17 species